CCGAUGCAUGGAGCUUGCUGUGAAUGGGGAGCUGGCUGCUUGAAGAGAGUAGUGCUGUGAAUGGGGAACAUGCACAAGGAGUAAAAGGCUUCCCCAGAUUGGAUUAAGGAUGGUAGUGGCCUUGGCUGGCAGCCCCCAAAGAAGGAAUUGCAUGGAAUGAAUGGACAUUGUGCCUCUAUCUGAAGCCUAGCAAGGGUCAGAGUUUUGUUUCCCAUAAAAAGAAGAUGACAGUAAUAUUGCAUUGACAAGUUCUCCACAGAAACUAAGAGUGGAACAGAAGAAUAGCAAAGUCCAUACUUGCCUUUCCUUUUAGAAUGUGAAGCACAAGUAAAUCCAGGUGGAAGGAAAUGACCUGUUUCCAAGACUUCAGAUUCAGUGAUGGAAAAUUAACCUUAUAGAAAAGAGCAUAAGUUCUCUCCCAUCCCAGAACGGCCUUGCUGGACCAUAGGCAUAACUAACAGUGUGAACCAAAGGCUGUGACCCAGAUUAGGCCUGGCCUUCGCAGAACAGUAACACACUCGGUUUGACUCUGCAAGGUGUUGGAGUAAAAAGGAAAUGCAGGAGUUCAGCACUGUCAUAAACAGAUAGUUAAGGGUUAAGGUCUCUUUUACCUGUAAAGGGUUAACAUGCAGUACCUGAUGACCACCUGACCAGAG